UACGUAGGGUGCGAGCGUUAAUCGGAAUUACUGGGCGUAAAGCGUGCGCAGGCGGUUUUGUAAGCCAGAUGUGAAAUCCCCGGGCUUAACCUGGGAAUGGCAUUUGGGACUGCAAGGCUUGAGUGCGGCAGAGGAGACUGGAAUUCCUGGUGUAGCAGUGAAAUGCGUAGAUAUCAGGAGGAAUACCGAUGGCGAAGGCAGGUCUCUGGGCUGACACUGACGCUCAUGCACGAAAGCAUGGGGAGCAAACAGG
rnacentral:rRNA from 1 species